rnacentral:misc_RNA from 1 species
UACAGAGGGUGCAAGCGUUGUUCGGAAUCAUUGGGCGUAAAGCGCGCGUAGGCGGCUCACUAAGUCAAAUGUGAAAUCCCUGGGCUCAACCCAGGACGUGCAUUCGAAACUGGUGAGCUUGAAUCCCGGAGAGGGUGGUGGAAUUCCCAGUGUAGAGGUGAAAUUCGUAGAUAUUGGGAGGAACACCAGAGGCGAAGGCGAACACCUGGACGGAGAUUGACGCUGAGGCGCGAAAGCGUGGGUAGCGAACAGG